rnacentral:snRNA from 1 species
GUGCUUGCUUCAGCAGCACAUAUAUCAAACUGGAAAAAGAGAAGAUUAGCACGACCCCUGUGCAAGGAUGCCGUGCAAAUUCAUGAAACUUUCAUAUUU